GUAAAAAAUUUCUGUAAAUUUACAUGAAAAUUCAACAGCAAAAUGCUGUUUUCGUGUAAUAACAGUAAGUUGCUGUUUUUUACAGUGCAUUGUGGGUAGACUUGCUCACUUCAGGUCGGUUGUCGAGCAACAACAGAAUGUCACUGUUAUUUAACAGUAUUAUAGCAUAUUUUUCGUUGUGCACGCCAUUUUGGAUUGUCUGCAUGAGGUAGGUCUGCAACUUUAUCGAUGCUUGUGCUAUUUUAAAAUUACAUAUUACUUUUGAAUAUUGCGUUUUAUCCAGUGAAGCUUUAAAACAACAAAAUCAGAUUCCAUUUCCUAUUUUAAUCAGGCAAAGGGGGUAUUCUACCAUCACAUCAGUUACACUCACAUCAGAUCACAGGUAAGAAUUCACCAAAGUUAUUUCCAACAUGUUAAUUUUACUAAAAUCUGUGUAAAAGAUGAAUGAGGAAUGAUCAAAAUCAAUGAUUGGUUUUGUGUCUUUACAUUUUUUAUGUGUGCAUUCUGUCUAUGCAAGUGAAAGAUACGCUUGUGUUAUCUGCAAAUUCGCCUGUUAUUUGUAUUAUCUUAAAAUCCUUUUAAAAUCCAUUGUUAAGUAUAUCUACAAAUAACACUAAAAGAUCUGUUGUAAAUUCAUUACAUGCUGGUUAGCUGGUUGAAACAUCCUGUUGUAUGUGGCACGCUUUUAUCGGUGGUAAGACACAUUAAGUUUAUAAAAUGGACAUGUAUCCCGGCUUCAUGUAAGUUAUGGUAAGUGGGGUAUAUGAAUUCGUUAUUAUAGUCUGAUUACACAAAAAAUUAAACAAAGGCACCCUUAUACAUAAGACUUAAGCAGUCCAAAUGGUUCUUGGUGAAAACCAAAUGUAACUCAUUUCAUUCACUGUGCAUCUAGAAGCCUCUUGCAAACAUGAUUUCAAACUUGAUAGGUCAUCAUGCAUCAAGUACAAGAAAGUGCAGUCAAACUUGAAUUCAUGAUUAUGGUUAGAAACUGAUGUAUAAAAAGUGUUACAGUUUUGUCUGUUGCAAAACCAAUUGAAUCGCAUCAAAAGAUUACUACUUGACUCAUCUGAAUUACUUUUAUCCUCCAUGUAGGGUUAUUUUGGUGCUUUGGUGCUAUUUUGGUCCCUAUUCCCUGCAUUGUAUAGACAAACAAAUAUUGCAUAUAUUAUUAAGAUGUGUGCCACUCCUGCUGACUUUGAGGAGACUAGUAACUUGUGACACCUCGUUUGAUCCUGUUUGCAUCUUUGGCUAUAUUCAUGGCGAGUACUGGUUAAUCCAUAUACAAGUUUUUAUUUACACAAGUCAAUCCAGACACUGGUUGGGGUAGAGACAAUUUGGCAUCUGUGAGUACCUAGCUGGGGCUCGAACCAGGGAUCUUCUUGCUGUGCCUUUUACUAUCAGGAGAACAUCAAGCUUUAUGUGCCUCAUUCUGGAGGCCACCGUAUUUUAAACAUGUUUAAUGUGUGACAAACUGCCAGUGCUUGCAUAUUCUUCUCACUGCCUUUUCUACACUUAGCUCUCCAGAUAUUAAGGAUUAUACAUUAAUCUAUACAUUCAUUUGGUCCAGGUGAUACUUGGGACAAUGGAUUAAACAAUGGAUGAUCAGCCUGAAAGCCAAAAGAAUCUGCAAGGGUGUUCAGCCAAUGUGUCUCACUGGACUUACUGCAUUGUGUAUUACAUCUCAACUUGCAAAAGUGAAAGCAGCAUCCACACUGGAAGUCCUUCAAAGACGCUUCAUUAAUCAAACCAGAAAAGGGAACCAAGGCUGCAAAGGGAAAAGUGACCUCUAAAACAAGAAAACUGCAAAAGAAGACCAUCAACAGUCAGUCUCAAACUAUCAAAUCUUUUAAAAAGACUUAUGGACUUGGUACUUCAUUUAAAAUGUAGCUGACACUUCCCACCAAUACAGCUUUUUUUUAAAUAUGGUGGGCUGCAGCCUGCAGUGAUGGCAGGUGACUUCUCUGAGGGGGCACGAAUGCAAAGCUAGCCAAAACAUUGUCAUGUGUGUGGCUCCUCAUUUCAAAAUGUGUGUUCGGCGCGUCAUGUGAACUUGUGCAUCGCGUGUCAUUCCAAAAUACGUGCCUGCUCCAGACACUUUGAAGGGGAUUAUGAUAAAAUGCUCGCUUUUGCAGAUAAUCUCAUGUGUAAACAGAGUUUAGUGUUAAAUGAGUGUCUUGCGAAUCAUGUGUCAUGUGAAUGUCUCUUUUAUUCUUUAUCAUAUUCAAAGCGUUUGUGGCAGGCAUGUAUUUUGACAUGAUGUGCGAUGCAUAUAAUUCACAUUACACCCCGAACACAUAUUUUGCAUUCAGGCAACCACUGGUGGGGUGGUGUUUUUUAUACUGGUUUGUAUAUUAUAGACCAUGUUUUCAUAUUUAAAAUUGGGCUGGUGUCUGUUAAAGAAUUAGUGAAUUAAGGUUUUAUUGAAUUCUUCUAAAAAUGUGGUGUUUUUACAGUUGUGAAACUUUUGUGCUUUUUUGAAAUCUAAAUUUUAAACUACAUUUGUAUUUUAAGUAAAAUAUUGUUCUUUGUUUGUUUGAUUUUUUUUUUAAUUUUUGUAUUUUAGUAUGUUAUUGGUGCCUUUUUGUUGCACCACAGUUUAUGCAGUGAAUAUUAAAAUAUAUCUGCUUGUAUUUCUGCCUGUUUUAUGGCAUAACACAGUCAAUCUGGGGUUGAAUAGAAUAAAGAAUAAAAAAUGCAUAACCUGGCCUUUUUUGUUUUAUGUUAACCACUUUGACAAAUUUAAAAUGCAGGGUAUAAUAGCAUUUAAAUAAAAAAAUUAUGAAGUUGUGACUGUAAAUGAACAGGUAUAUGAUGCUAAAUAACAGUUUUAUGCUGUAGAUAACAAAAACAGUAUCAUGCUAUUAAAUAACAGCUGUAUUCUAUAGAUAACACAAACAGUACCAUGCUGUUAAAAUAACAGUUGACUGCUGUAGGUAACAAAACGGUAUCAUGAUGUUUUUCCUAAUAACAGCAUCCCGCUGUAAAUUAACAGUGCAAUGCUGGCAACCACAGCUUCCAGCAUAAUACCGUUUUUUUACAGGGAAAUUUUUUACAGUGUAUAUAUAUAUAUACAUAUACAUAUAUAU